rnacentral:lncRNA from 1 species
GAGCACAAACAGGGACCCUUCAGGCUCACAAAGUUAAAUUUUUAUUUAUUUUUUUUUUUUUCAGAAACCAAAGUGAAGGGGUGGACAUAUGGAUGCUUUGGAUACUGUCUAAUACAGCAUCAAGAUAGAGCUGAAGCUUACACCCAGCCCUGGUUAACUAACUUUAUGGUUCUCAUGACAUGAAUCAAAAAAUAGCUUUAAGAUAGCUGCAUGGAUACUCCUCUUACUAAUUGUUUUCUAUGAUGUUGUUGAUAUUUGUGGAAGCUGCCAACAAUGGAAAAGUGGAUCUGGUCACUUGGGAAGGCGCAACACUGCAUAAUUGUUCCUCCUAUAGCUGCUGGGGUUGCUGCUCCAGGAUGCAGUUUCAAAGCUGGUGUUGGAUAAGUGGUCCUGCAGGGAGGUGCUGGGUUUGCUCAGGCAGGUCACACAGCUCACAAAUAUCUAUGCAGAUACACACAUAUGAGCCUUCCAAGACAUGUAGUUCUCUGCUGUCCUUCUGUGGUAUCACCACUGCCAGACAAGUCAACUGCAAUGCAAAGCCAAGGAGCAGGACUCAGGAAAUCCCCCUUAAUUUCAUGUUUGGUGAGAAUUUCAAAGUUUGUCUCUUGUGGUAUCAUUUUUUCCUGCCGAUAGUAGAAAGAGGAGAAAGCUCUGUGUGA